GGCAACUUGGCCGAGCGGUUAUGGCGCUGUCUUCAGGUUUCCCCCCAAGAAACUUUGGCAGUUCGAAAGAGCGAGGGUUCGAAUCCCUCAGUUGUCA